rnacentral:rRNA from 1 species
AUGCGUUGUUGGGUAGGGGAGCGUUCUGUAAGCCUGCGAAGGUGUGCUGUGAGGCAUGCUGGAGGUAUCAGAAGUGCGAAUGCUGACAUAAGUAACGAUAAAGCGGGUGAAAAGCCCGCUCGCCGGAAGACCAAGGGUUCCUGUCCAACGUUAAUCGGGGCAGGGUGAGUCGACCCCUAAGGCGAGGCCGAAAGGCGUAGUCGAUGGGAAACAGGUUAAUAUUCCUGUACUUGGUGUUACUGCGAAGGGGGGACGGAGAAGGCUAUGUUGGCCGGGCGACGGUUGUCCCGGUUUAAGCGUGUAGGCUGGUUUUCCAGGCAAAUCCGGAAAAUCAAGGCUGAGGCGUGAUGACGAGGCACUACGGUGCUGAAGCAACAAAUGCCCUGCUUCCAGGAAAAGCCUCUAAGCAUCAGGUAACAUCAAAUCGUACCCCAAACCGACACAGGUGGUCAGGUAGAGAAUACCAAGGCGCUUGAGAGAACUCGGGUGAAGGAACUAGGCAAAAUGGUGCCGUAACUUCGGGAGAA